GCCAGUACUGGGGUAAGCGGUUUACAGGCCCUGUCCUGGUCAAUCCUCACGUGGCUCCCAAGAAAGAUGGAUGAUCAGGCAUCGCUCCUACAGAAUGCUGGGCUGCAUGUUUGGGUGUGACCCUUGGGGCAUCACCGUGGUGCACUACUGUGGCUCGUCACUGUUUCUGCAGUCAGGGAUUCACCUAAGAAGCUGCUGAGCGGACCAUCGCCCAAGUCAAAUGCCACCACUGCACAAGCUCGAAGGACACACACCCUCAAAGGUGGAGACAAUUAGCUCUCUUUUAGAGACGUGGACACUGAAUCCAGAGAGGGCAAGCAACUCACCUGAGAUCACAUAGCCGAGCUGGGACUCGAGCCCAGGCCACUGGCUCUUGAGCCCCUCUACUCUCCUGCCCUAACAAGGUGUGUCUGUGAUAUUUCUCGGGAUGGAGACCCUGGGCAGCUCUUCGUGGGACAUCCUGGGUCUGGGGAAGACAGCAGCAAAGCCCAUUCAGGAAUCAAAAAGCUGCCUUUAUGUGGGGCUGUCUGUUGUUUAGUCUGAGCUCUGUCCACAAGCACCUGGGAUGGGCUACCACACAGCAGGCCCAGAAAACAUCUGGAGCCCAGAUGUGCCCACCAUUCCCAGGGCCAAGAGAAUGU